GCACUGCUGAGGAGUCCCACAAUAGGACAAAACGGCCUUGCAGUGC
rnacentral:hammerhead_ribozyme from 1 species